UUAAUGUACUAUUGUUUCAUCUCACAGCUUUCUUCACCCAGGCGCACCUUAGUCUCUGACCAAAUUCCAUCAGACAAGGUGGGAGAAGAGGCUUGACUGAAAUGAGUGAAACCUCACUCCAUCAUAUUCGUCUGAAGCCAGCCUGCCAGCCCUGAUGUCAGUGGUGAGUAUGCUGAUAUGCUGAGCUGUGGAUGAAGCGGGCCAUGUCUGCCCUCCG
rnacentral:lncRNA from 1 species